UAUAGUUAUCUCUUAUAUAUAAUCCUUAGAUCUGCUAUCUAUCUUUCUAUCUAUCCAUCUAUCUAUCUUUCUAUCUAUCUCAUAUAUAUCUAUCAUAUCUUUUCUAAAUUUGUAGUCUAUAUAGUUAUGUCUCUGGUAAUGUAAAUAGUCUAUAAAGGGUUGAUAUACAUAUUAUCUAUUUAUCUAUCUAUCAAUCAUCUAUCUAUUCUUCAUGUCUGCUAUCUUUCUAUUUAUCUAUCUAUGUCUAGCUUUCACGUCAAUGAUAUCUAUCUAUCUAUUCUAUAACUAUGGUCUAUAUAGUUUGCUAUCUAUUCCCUAUUAACACAUGUAGUCUAUAUAGUUUAAUAGAUAGGUAGAUAGAGAGAGAUAGAUGUUAGAUAGAUAGAUAGAUAGAUAGAUAAAUAUGAGCGAGAUAGAUUGAUAGAGAGAUAGAUAGAUAGAUAGAUAUGAGAUAGAUAGAAAAUGAAUAGCUUAGAUAGAUAGAUGAUAGAUAGAUAUAUUGAUAGAUAGAUGAUAGAUAGAUGAUAGAUAGAUAGAUAGAUAGAUAGAUAGAUGGAUGGAUGGAUGGAUGGAUAGAUAGAUGGAUAGAUAGAUGGAUAGAUAGAUAGAUGAUAGAUGAUAGAUGGAUAGAUAGAUAGAUAGAUAGAUAGAUAGAUAGAUAGAUAGAUAGAUGGAUAGAUGGAUAGAUAGAUGGAUAGAUAGAUGGAUAGAUAGAUAGAUAGAUAUAUAUAUAAGCUAGAUGGAUAGAUAGAUAGAUAGAUAGAUAGAUAUAUGAGCUAGAUAGCUCUAUCAGUACAUCCCAGGACCCCAGUGUUUGCAUUCUCCAUCCUGCAUACAUUUUCCCUCCACAUCUUCUCCUCUGUACUGUAAUUCUGAUUAACUUGAUGCUUUUUGCAGCAUCAGGACCUCAAGGGGAGCUGUAGGUUACACAGAGAGGAGCCUGCAGAGAAAAUAUCCCCACACUUGUCCUUGCUCAGCUGCUCAGUGAAUGAUUCGCCCUUUCCCAUCUCUGCAGAAUAUUCCUCUCUUAUUAUCAGUAGUAUUACUACUAGCAGAGCCAUGUUAGUGUCCAUGCACCUGAUACCCUGUGAUACUGCAGCCUUCUAAGAUUAGCACUGACGUGUGCCAUCCUCCUUUCUACUGGGCACCUGAAUUCUCUCCUAAGCAUCUCUGCUACCCUUUCCACAACACUAGCUCCUGUAGGGGAAUGGGGGAUGGGAUGGAUUAUGUCUAGUUAGCUGUCCUGCACUGUAAGUGCAGGCACUGCGGUAAGGAAACUGACUGCCAAAGAGAAAUGGCUAUUGUUGUGAGGCAGAGGAUGAUGGUAUAGAGAAUGCAGAGAGGAGCAGAGGAGCCCAUGUGCCUGCUAAGGGGGGUAGAUAGAUGCAUGAUCAGACAAGGAGGCUGCAGAGCUGCCCUGCAGCAUCCUCUCUGCCUAUGGUUAUCUGUAUGUAUGAGCAGCUCUGUGAUCUAAAAAAGGACGGAUCACAAAGGAAUAAGAAGCCCAGAGGGGGUAUGAGCAAAAAUCAAUUAGUCAUUAGUCUUGAGUCUUGAAUGCCUGCACACAGCAAUAUCUAUCUGUCUGCGAAUCCAUCUAUCUAUGCAAAUAUACAACUCAUAUCUAGCUAUCUAUGCAUCCGUCUUUUCAUAUCUAUCUAUCUAUCUAUCUAUUAUCCAUCUUUGCAUAUCUAUCUAUCUAUCUAUUAUCCAUCUUUGCAUAUCUAUCUAUCUAUUAUCCAUCUUUGCAUAUCUAUCUAUCUAUUAUCCAUCUUUGCAUAUCUAUCUAUCUAUUAUCCAUCUAUGCAUAUAAAGAGAGAGUAACAUGAUUACUAAGCUCUCCAUAUGCUCACUGGUUGUAUGUCUUAUUUUUUCUACUCUGCAGUAGUAUUUUUCGACACCCCCAGCUCUUUCCAGCAAAUCACCAAAGGCCUUGUGUUUUUCAUUUUUUUUUAAAGAGUAUUCUUAGCUCCAAAACAAUAAGAUCCCAUGGUGUCUACAUUUUCCCCAUCUGUCCAUGGUCCAUCUUGACACCCAAUCUCCAUGCACUGUGCGUAGCUGCCUUUAUGAUGCUAGAGCACUGCAUUACUUAUAUGUUCCCUACCAAUGCCAACAUGCCCCCCCCUGCAUACACUCACAUAAGCCACCAGACCUGUCACCAUGCCUGUCUCCACCAUCCCCUGCUCUAUAGCCCACCGUGGAAUUUGCAGCUUUCCCUUUCCCCCCUAGAUCCAUAUAAUGAUUAAGGGAAUCUAGCCAUGCAAAAACUUUUGGCAAGUUUAAGACAUUCCACCACCCACUACAUUAGAUGCACAAAGUGAAUAAUAAAGCUCCCGCUGCUCUAUGGGCCUAUGGAAAGUCACCCAGCCAUCGCCUGUCCUCCUUGGAUAAUUUAAGAUGGUCUAAAUAUUGCACAAUGCCACAUAACAUAAGAAGACUGUGUAUAAUCAAUAUUGCUGCCUCGUCCAAUACGCAACUGGAAUACAAAAGUAGCUCUGGACCCUGCUUUUCCUCCAGUGUCUGCUUAUACUAUAUACAGUGUUCUGCCCAGAGUCUCUACCAUGCACAAGACUGACUCCCUGCAAGGGCAAUGGGUCAUAGUGUCUCCGCUUUCACUGGCCUGAUUAUUAAUGGGCAAUAAAAGGUUAACAGAGAGUGCCCCCCCCCUCUGCUUGUGCUGCAUUGACCGGUUUAAUAGUUAAAAGGGUAGAAUGCCCUCCAGCCUGCAAGGAGGCUAAGAUCACUGUACUAUAUGCAAGCAAGUAAAGACGUAGCAGCAGCAGGUGCAUCCCUAUAGCUGUAUACUCAUCCUUCCCCACAAGUAGCUAGAGCCUCAACAACUCCGGGUGAUCAACUAUCAUUGGACAAUUCCAUAAGGUCAAGGAUCUGCAUGUAUGGAAAUGACAGCAGCAGUCUGCCUAUAGGGAAGAUGAAGCGAGAGAUGUGCAGCCACAAUGUUGCCUCCAGCGCAGGCUUUGUGAAUGAAAAUUGGAGAAAAAAAAAAAAGAAAAGGAAUUCUAUAGAGGAAAAGGAAUCAUCAUCUUGAUUGCAGAAGGGAUUAAUAUUGUUGCCUUGCCUGGCCUGCUGGUACCGCCGUGUCAAAAAGAAUGGGAGGUUUCAAAAAAAAAAAAAAAAAAAAAAAAAAAAAAAAAAAAAGGAGAAUGGUUUGAGCCUGUGUGUGUAUCUCUCCCCAGCUUGCAAGAUGCAGAAUGGGGUUGUGCCCAGUCUACUGCAGACCGUGUUAUGACAUCAUCACCUCAUUAAGGUGGAUUAUCAAUCUUCAACCUUUUCUUUAAUUCCACAUUCUCAACCACAUGAAGGUUGAGGUAGGAAUUCUUGUUUUUCGGAGGGGAUUAUACACAGCCAAGUGCAGGGGGAUGACAAGCAGCACACGGCGGCAGCGUGUAGACUCCAGUCUGCUGCACCUGUAGCAGGUUUUGCAAGGGAUCUUGAAGUGUGGCUUCUUGGGUAGUGCAGAAAAGCAAGAUGGGGAACAAAGGGUGCCCCCCCCCCCCACUCCUAGGGUGCCACCCCCCCCCCCCCACACACACACACUCCUUGCCAUCAAAUUGGGGUUACGUUUUAAGUGAUAAGUAUUAGGGCUGCAUUGAUAACUUUGAAUACAUUGGAUAGAAGUGAAUCUGUUAAGGAGCUACCUUAAGGGAAUUACAAAGAAAUACUGUAGAGUUGUUGUAGGAUCCUAAUAAGAAUCACAUAGUUGCAAUGUAUGGGGCACUUCACAUGUACCGGGGGACCACAUAUUUGGAGAAGGAACUGAUCACAUGCAUACACUAAUGAUGGUGAGAGCUCUUGUAUGUUCAGGACUAUUGGGAUGCUGCUGCUUCCUAGGAUAUCCUAUACUAAGGAUCGAGAAGAACCCAAGGACAGCGUGCACGACACAUCCGGUAGAUUACAUGGAGCAUUUAUUUAGAUUGCAAGCUCCAGGGGUCAGGGAAUGCACAACAGAUUGAGAGUCACUGCUGAAUGUCUUAUUAUUACUUACCUAUUGUAUGAGGAAAGCAGGUGCUGACUCCGGACAAGGGAUCAGUCUUUUACAAUCCGUGUUGCCCAUUUCUAUCCGGUUUAUUAACAUGAAUGGUGAAACAUUAUUUUCUUUAUCCUCAGACCUGUGUGUGAUGUGUCACUGGAAACCGGCUGGAGUGAAGUGGGCAUGGGGACGUUACUGCAGGGAGGAUCCCUACAGCACUUCAGAAGUUUUAAACAAUACAGGUCUCACUUCAACUGAAUUUGCUGUUGACUGCCUGUCCACCAAGACUGAACACAGGCUUUUCUCUGCUCAUACAGCCAGGGCCUCAUCUCCAAGCUACAGGAUGUCUGCAGCUUCAAGUACCCGGUGACAAACAGCCUUGCAACCAGACUUGUGGACAAUAAGAAGACAGUACUGACAAAUUCAAGUACCGUAGACUUGGUUUUGAUGAUCAGUGGUGUGUGCAGAACUUGCACUGCAGCGCUGACUUUGCGGGUGACAGCCGGAAAUGAGCACAGCAGCUGGAACUUCCAAGAUGGCUGCACCCAGGGAACUUCCUGUUUGAGUCCGGCCAGGAAAGUCUUCCCCUGUGCAACACAGGGCAGUCCUUUGGUUCCUCCUCGCUGGAUCGUGGAGGCAUAACCGCUGCGGAGUGACGUGGGCAGAGCUGCAACCGCUCGCGCACGCGGGAAACAAUGGACAAGAUUGACUCCUUCAGGUACAACCUUUACACAAGCCUGCACAAUUCUUUUAUGGUUCAAGAUGGCAGAUAGCAGACUUUAUUUCACCUCCCCCUCUAUUUCACAAGCGCCUCGGAAUAAACACUUUUCACUGGAAAAAAUCCUGUAUCCUUUCUGGCACAAUUUUUGACGCAAAUGCGUGCGUUUUACUCUGCAAUACUGUACACAGUUCAGACUGGGAGGAUACUUUUUGCAUAAGUCGCAUACCCGUAUCCUGUUCGUAGGAUGCCAAAAGUUUUCUCUCUGCACAGAGGCACACAGGCAAUAGCUGCAGGGACAAGCCAGUAUUUUGUUGACCACAAAAAAAAAAAUACAUAUUUUUUAACCAAUGUAUAUUAUAAAUUUACAUAUGAUUUUAUUAUCUACAUUAUAUAAAAAGUUUUUGCAUAUGACAGGUACACUUUAAGAAGUCGGCCAUUUGGAACCUCAACAAGGAUUGCUGGAUUACCAUUGUAGAUCUGGUCAUUUUUGUGCAUCUUAUUUGCCACCAUUCAUUAAAAAUCUGUGUUAGUUUUUGUGAAGUUCAGAAUGACAAGGGUGCAUUAUAAUGGAAGGAAGGUUUAUUGUAUUCGUGGACAUAUUGCCAGGAACACACACUGAAAACAAGGACAUUUUGACCUGUAUAAAGAACCAUUUAUUAAAUGGAGCUCUUCAGGGUAUUACAGAUCAGAGCUGCAAGAAUAGGAGCUGAUUUAAUACAUUUACUAUGUGGUUUCAUGUGUUCGGCCUUUUCUUUGGUUUGUUUGGAAAAUGACGGCUUCACGUUUCACUUAACUACAGUGAUCCCUCAACUUACAAUGGCCUCAACAUACAAUAGUUUCAACAUACAAUGGUCUUUUCUGGACCAUCGUAAGUUGAAACCAGACUCAACAUGCAAUGUACAGACAGUCCAAAUCUGUGAAACGUGUCAAUGGCUGGAAGAUCUGACCAAUCAGAAUGGGCAUUUUACUGGUAAAACCCCUGUAUUACUGAAGCGUAUGCACUGCCUGGUGUCUAGUAGCGCCCCCUCCAGUACAGAGAGGUAUUACAUGUUCUGUACACUUUACCUGUGCCAGGGUUAGCUGCUCCUUUGGACACAAGGUGAAGGCGACUCCAUGUUACUUUUUUUUAGGACACUGUGUACUGUACAGGACCCUGAAGAAGCUCCUGUCCUCUACAUAGACCAGUGUUUCCCAAGCAGGGUGCCCC